UCCCNGUCAGGCAGUGCAGGCAGGGCUGCGC
rnacentral:piRNA from 1 species